rnacentral:rRNA from 1 species
CGUGCCUAAUACAUGCAAGUCGAACGGUCUUUCUAUGGAAGCUUGCUUCCACUGAGAAGAUAGUGGCGAACGGGUGAGUAACACGUGGGUAACCUGCCCAUAAGAGGGGGAUAACAUCCGGAAACGGGUGCUAAUACCGCAUAGUUUUCUUGAUCGCAUGAUUGAGAAAGGAAAGACGGCCUUUGUGCUGUCGCUUAUGGAUGGACCCGCGGCGUAUUAGUUAGUUGGUGAGGUAACGGCUCACCAAGACGAUGAUACGUAGCCGACCUGAGAGGGUGAUCGGCCACAUUGGGACUGAGACACGGCCCAAACUCCUACGGGAGGCAGCAGUAGGGAAUCUUCCGCAAUGGACGAAAGUCUGACGGAGCAACGCCGCGUGAGUGAAGAAAAGGUUUUCGGAUCGUAAAACUCUGUUGUCAGAGAAGAACAAGUUGGAGAGUAACUGCUCCAGCCUUGACGGUAUCUGACCAGAAAGCCACGGCUAACUACGUGCCAGCCGCUGC